GUCUAGUUCAGUUGGUAGAGUGCAAGGCUUUUAACCUUGAGGUUGUGGGUUCAAGCCCCAUGGUGGACA
rnacentral:tRNA from 1 species